GAUGAAGAACGCAGCGAAAUGCGAUAAGUAAUGUGAAUUGCAGAAUUCAGUGAAUCAUCGAAUCUUUGAACGCACCUUGCGCCCUUUGGACAUUCCGAAGGGCAUGCCUGUUUGAGUAUCAUGAACACCUCAACUCUCACGGCUUGUCCGUGAUGAGCUUGGACUUUGGGGGUCUUGCCGGCCUGUGGUCGGCUCCUCUCAAAUGGAUCAGCUUGCCAGUGUUUGGUGGCAUCACAGGUGUGAUAACUAUCUGCGCUUGUGGUUUUCCAUCAGAUAACCUUCAGUGAUAUGGAGGUUCGCUGGAGCUCACAAAUGUCUCUCCUUAGUGAGGACAGCUCUUUGAACGUUUGAUCUCAAAUCAGGUAGGACUACCCGCUGAACUUGAGCAUAUCAAUAAGCGGAGGA
rnacentral:misc_RNA from 1 species